GAUGAACGCUAGCUACAGGGCUUAACACAUGCAAGUCGAGGGGCAGCAUGAACAUAGCUUGCUAUGUUUGAUGGCGACGGCGCACGGGUGAGUAACGCGUGGGUAACCUGCCGUAUACAGGGGGACAACAGUUGGAAACGACUGCUAAUACCGCAUAAGCGCACAGGACCGCAUGGUCUGGUGUGAAAAACUCCGGUGGUAUACGAUGGACCCGCGUCUGAUUAGCUAGUUGGUGAGGGUUAAACGGGCCCCACCAAGGCGACGAUCAGUAGCCGGCCUGAGAGGGUGAACGGCCACAUUGGGACUGAGACACGGCCCAAACUCCUACGGGAGGCAGCAGUGGGGAAUAUUGGACAAUGGGGGAAACCCUGAUCCAGCGACGCCGCGUGAGUGAAGAAGUAUUUCGGUAUGUAAAGCUCUAUCAGCAGGGAAGAAAAUGACGGUACCUGACUAAGAAGCUCCGGCUAAAUACGUG
rnacentral:rRNA from 1 species